rnacentral:rRNA from 1 species
AAAUUGAAGAGUUUGAUCAUGGCUCAGAUUGAACGCUGGCGGCAGGCCUAACACAUGCAAGUCGAACGGUAACAGGAAGAAGCUUGCUUCUUUGCUGACGAGUGGCGGACGGGUGAGUAAUGUCUGGGAAACUGCCUGAUGGAGGGGGAUAACUACUGGAAACGGUAGCUAAUACCGCAUAACGUCGCAAGACCAAAGAGGGGGACCUUCGGGCCUCUUGCCAUCGG